AUAUUAAAAAUAUCGUGAAUACAUCAAUCUAUGAUUAAAUUUAAUAAAAAACGAGCAAAAUUGUUUGCUAUCUCCAAAACUAUGAGCGGAACUAAAGCAAAAAUAUUGGGUUACUGAAAUGAUAUGCUCACAAAGCCCUCCCUCUCGAAUAACUUUCCUUAAAUAAUUACCUACCAGAAAUAUUGUUAACAAAUAACAUAAAAUUUGGAACUGUUAUUUUACCCAACACUGCUGGUAGUGCCCACGGUGACUUCAUUGUACUUAUUCAUAAAAUGUACUUAUUUAAGAAAACUCAUUUUUUUAUUACAUAAAUUCAUAUUAUAAAAGUAUUAAUUAUUAAAAGUAUGAAGUAUUAAUUGACUCAGUUAAAUUUUAUUUAGCUUAGAAAUUAUUAUCACAUUUCAUAAUUAAUCUAAACGGUAGACUACUAUUACGAAGUGAAUCAAAGCAUUCCAUUAGUAAAUAGCACAUCGCAAAGAAAUUUUAUUUUUGGCGAUUUAAUGCUUUAUGUCGAGGAAAAAUUUAUUAAGACUAUAAAAAAAAAAAUGCCCGAGGAAUCAAGACAUCAAAACAAUCGUAAAGUGCGUCCCAAUGCCGCCUCGUUAGAAACUAUAGCAUGUCCAAAUAAACUCUCUGGCUUGAAAAGAAAAAAGUCUCAGACUUUGCAGGUCUAAAAAAUUAAAGAAAGAAAAAUGGUUCAGAACUCUACUUUCAAUAUGCGUAAAAAUCAACAAAUAGCAGUUGAUACUAACCGUGAUACAAGUUCUAACUUUACCAAAAAUAAAAAAUCACCAAUGGGAUACUUUAUUGAUGCACCUCAAGGCAAAUAAAUGGUUUAAAAAUUUCAUACAUAAUGACUUUAAAUGAUUUAAGCAGAUUUGGUACAAUUUCCAACCGUAGACAAGAGAAAGCAUCAGCUGUGGGACACUUUAUUGAUACGCCCCAAGGAAGACAAGUAAUUACCAUGCUCCCAAUUUCUUUAUAAUGAGUUUUGCAAAAUUCAUAGAUCUCACUCUUGAUGGUGAUGAUCACGUAGAAAUUUUGCAAUCAAUACUUUUGUAAUGAUUAUUUAAAUAGAAAUUUUUAUUUAGUAUUUUUUUUAGCACUUAUGUUUUUAUAAUUGUUAGCUAUUUGUAUUUCAAACAAAUGUAAUAAACUUCUUUUGUUUUAUUAAUUUUUGUACUUUAACAGAUAUAUAUCUUUAAUUUUUAACAUUACUAACAAUCUAC